rnacentral:misc_RNA from 1 species
GAUGAAGAACGUAGUGAAAUGCGAUACGUAAUGUGAAUUGCAGAAUUCAGUGGAUCAUCGAAUCUUUGAACGCACAUUGCACUCCUUGGUAUUCCGAGGAGUAUGCCUGUUUCAGUAUCAUGAGCACUCUCACAUCUAACCUUUGGGUUAAAAUGUGGAAUUGGGAUGCGCCGGUUAUUAUAACGGCCCUCCUAAAAUUCAGUUCUUGGCUGCUUCCUACUACAGCAGUUUGGCCUAAUAGUUUUGAGUCUUCGAUUCAAAUCUUUGGCUAACAUUUGCUUCAGGAUGUCAGUCUUGAUAUACAGAAAUCUCAUUCAAACUUUGAUCUGAAAUCAGGUAGGGCUACCCGCUGAACUUAAGCAUAUCAAUAAGCGGAGGA